CUUUGAGAAGGAUAAUGACACAAGGGCCAGUCACCUCCUUGCCACCGAUUUGUGUGCCUUAACAUCUUGCUAGAGCCAGUGAUCAUAGUAUGCGUAUCGUGACGAUGAAAAGGCCUUAAACUCCAAUAGGUGGGGUUAGAAUAGAGAUGGUCAAAGAAUCAUCAUUUUCCAAGAUUUGUAUUGGUUAGUCCCGUAAACUAGUUAUUGGUCGAAAGAUUGUUUCGAAAAGUUUGGAGGGUUUCAAAGCCAAUGUAAACUUGUAAAAGGCGAUGGUCACUAUUCACUAAGCCAUGAGUGAUUGU